rnacentral:rRNA from 1 species
GAUGAACGCUGGCGGCGUGCCUAAUACAUGCAAGUCGAGCGAACAGACGAGGAGCUUGCUCCUUUGACGUUAGCGGCGGACGGGUGAGUAACACGUGGAUAACCUACCUAUAAGACUGGGAUAACUUCGGGAAACCGGAGCUAAUACCGGAUAAUAUGUUGAACCGCAUGGUUCAAUAGUGAAUGACGGUUUUGCUGUCACUUAUAGAUGGAUCCGCGCCGCAUUAGCUAGUUGGUAAGGUAACGGCUUACCAAGGCAACGAUGCGUAGCCGACCUGAGAGGGUGAUCGGCCACACUGGAACUGAGACACGGUCCAGACUCCUACGGGAGGCAGCAGUAGGGAAUAUUCCGCAAUGGGCGAAAGCCUGACGGAGCAACGCCGCGUGAGUGAAGAAGGUCUUCGGAUCGUAAAACUCUGUUAUUAGGGAAGAACAAAUGUGUAAGUAACUAUGCACGUCUUGACGGUACCUAAUCAGAAAGCCACGGCUAACUACGUG